AAAAAAUGUCCAGCUAUUCAAGUGAGUCCGGGAACUCUCCUCCAAGCCAACGAGUUCGCUUGGAAACGCAAUCGUCAACGGAGGAGACGUAUUCCGGCCCUGCUCCGACAGCGGGAGAGGAGGAAGUCGGGGGUGGACACCAUGAA